rnacentral:lncRNA from 1 species
AACAAGUGCAAGAAGGGAGUGUUUACAGGAGGGUACUCAAGUGUGUUGUGGAACAAAAUUAACGCCUCUAUAAAAAGAAGAAAUCAAAGAGGCGCUCCUCAGAGAGGCGUCCUCUCGCAAAUCGAAGAGUCGGGGCUCCUUUCUCAAAAGCCGGAGUUUUUUCUCAAAAGAGGGGCUCCUUUCUCAAAAGUCGGAUUCUUUUCUCAAAAGAGGCGUUUCAUUUCUUAAAAAUUGGGCUUGCUCAGAAACCACGAGCCGAACCCCGGAUUUCGCAAGAUCAAUUCGUCCAGACGUGUUGUCACCCGUCACACGCAAACUCAGCUCUGCGAAAAUCACGGGCAGUCUGUCGAAGUGCCGAUUCCAACCAUCUGUCUCUCUCAGCCUAGUCAGCACUUGUCACAUGCAACUGGCAGCUUUGCGGAAAUUACGGGCACCUUUGUCAGAAAACGCGUAAUUUGUAUUCUUCACCCAUCCACCGGCUGCCGACACUAAGUGAGAGAACAGUUCCGGUUGUGAAGACAAGUCCUAUAAGUUUCUACCUUCGCCUUCCACAGCAAAAGCACACUCUCUCAGCACACCCUCUCA